ACUCACACCUCACUCACCGCUGCCUAUAUUCAAACCCAUCACCCAUGUCUCUUGCAUCAUAAACAAUUCUACUUCCAUCCUCAUAUCAGAUCUAACUAUGAUAGUGAAACCACUGAAGAUUUUUACCAUUUGUUCCGGUGAAAUGCUCAUUGUUGAUGAGUUUGCUACAACCGUGAUUUCUUUGAUUAGCCAACACAAUAUACCAGAUGGAGGAACUUGUGCUCCAGCAGACGGGGCAGAUCACCGGUGGGAUUAGAGUUUGUUGUGGAACUGGUGGAUGUGGUGGGAUUAGGGCUAAUUGUUGUAUGUCGCGAGUGUUGUUGUGAUUGAAAUUGAUCCUCAACUUCUCUAGAUCAAUAAAAUUAGUUGGGUUCAUUGGAGUUUGAGUUAUUGUGUGAUGUUUUGAGUGGAAAUAAUGUUAAUGGUGGUCGUGAUGAUAUGCUGCGUAGGAAUAAUAUCUAUCUGCAAAACUUGAUUAAAUCAACUAUGUUUGUGUUUGUGGCAGGGGUAUACUCCUUAGUCCUUAGGUGCAAGUGUACUAUUUUAUAUUUGUAUUGAGGAGUUUGUAAUUUAAAAUAUAAAGAAUGAAUAAAGAUGUUUCUAUUUUGCAUUGCA